GGAACUCCAUGUGUAGCGGUGGAAUGCGUAGAUAUAUGGAAGAACACCAGUGGCGAAGGCGGCUACCUGGUCUGCAACUGACGCUGAGACUCGAAAGCAUGGGUAGCGAACAGGAUUAGAUACCCUGGUAGUCCAUGCCGUAAACGAUGAGUGCUAGGUGUUGGAGGGUUUCCGCCCUUCAGUGCCGGAGCUAACGCAUUAAGCACUCCGCCUGGGGAGUACGACCGCAAGGUUGAAACUCAAAGGAAUUGACGGGGGCCCGCACAAGCGGUGGAGCAUGUGGUUUAAUUCGAAGCUACGCGAAGAACCUUACCAGGUCUUGACAUCUUGCGCCAACCCUAGAGAUAGGGCGUUUCCUUCGGGAACGCAAUGACAGGUGGUGCAUGGUCGUCGUCAGCUCGUGUCGUGAGAUGUUGGGUUAAGUCCCGCAACGAGCGCAACCCUUGUUACUAGUUGCCAGCAUUAAGUUGGGCACUCUAGUGAGACUGCCGGUGACAAACCGGAGGAAGGUGGGGACGACGUCAGAUCAUCAUGCCCCUUAUGACCUGGGCUACACACGUGCUACAAUGGACGGUACAACGAGUCGCGAACUCGCGAGGGCAAGCAAAUCUCUUAAAACCGUUCUCAGUUCGGACUGCAGGCUGCAACUCGCCUGCACGAAGUCGGAAUCGCUAGUAAUCGCGGAUC
rnacentral:rRNA from 2 species